GUCCUCACACCAGCAGUACAUACACUGAAAAUGGAACGAUACAGAGAUUAGCAUGGCCCCUGUGCAAGGAUGACACACAGUUUCGUGAAGCGUUCCAUAUUUUG